rnacentral:lncRNA from 1 species
CUGAAAGUUUAGCGGAGAGCUUGCUAGUUCUGGAGAUGCUCCGGUUAGGUCGAGUGCACUCCGUGGUUUGAGUGAAGAAUGGCUACAGCACGACCACUGGGCUCUCCCUGUCAGCCCGGUCUUUGCUUCUGAAUGGUUGGGGGAGGAGCUCCUGCAGGGCCAGUCCUGUGGGGAUGACCUCUGACUAUUCCUAAGGGCCUCUCCUCCCCUCCUCUUCACCUCCUACUGCAGUUUUACAGCCCCUCCUUCCUGCCAGGAUGCAGGGCCCCCAACAUCCACCUGUGUCACUGGGGCGCCUAGCAGCCACACUCCUGUGCACUUGGAGCCUGUGUACGCCGAGGUGACCGCAGCUGUCUCAGGGCAGCGUCUCCAUACUGGAUGCCAGAGCCCAUCCUCUCGGGGUCCAGUUCACCUGAGGACCAGGAAAAUGCCUGUGACUCUGUGUUCCCCACACACGAUGCACCUGAACCCCGAGUAUGUGCAAGAUACGUGCCUGGCUUGCAACACUAAUCAUGGUCACCUGUAGACUUGUGAGCACCUUGACCCAUAGGAAUCCACCACGACAACUUUGCAAGGACCUCCUGGGGCUUAGGGACACUAUGCAGGACUUCCUGGCUUUUGUCUACCCAGGACCAGCUCAGAUCUGCAGGUUGGCUCCCACAUUUAAGGACCCACACAAGUGAUGUCACACCCUGGCAGGUUGAGUCUCUCAUGGCACCGGGGGGAAUGAGGAGGGUGAAGUCAGGAGUGUCACCCCCUCUCAGAAGAGGAAGGCAGCCAUGUUGUUCUCUCCUAGGUCAGGUUCCUCCCAGGAAGGGCCCCUUGGUGGAACCUUUUGGAUCACGUGUUUCCAGGACAAUGCUGCUAACUCUGAGGUCAGUGGAUUGAUGAGAUUUUCAAGACGGGAGUGUGCUGGGAGCUGCACUGGCCAGUCCUGUGGUCACCAGGCAUGUG